rnacentral:lncRNA from 1 species
GCUGCCGAGCCAGGAGCCGGGCUAUUCUGGGCCCAGCAGGCCUGCCUGGGAGUGGGGCUGGGCCCGGGGGGAGCGCGGAGAGGCUGGUUGCUCCAGUCAAGGUCAGCGACGGGGAGGCACGUGGAGGAUGAAGCCACAGGACCACGGGCCAGUGUUGCAGCGACGCUUCAGCCUGAAAGGUGGGCACGGGGGGCCACUCCAGCCUCAGGCCCCGCCUCGCUCCUCCGUCCUGUUCUCUGCUUUCUCCUUUUUACCCGGGGCUUCCUGUUUGGGCUCAGCCUCCAGCAAAAUUGUUCCCUGGAUUUCAGCCACAACUGCGGACUGGCUGAUGGACCGAGCGUCGCAUCACAGGGACAGCAGCGCUCAAGGCGACCCCAGGAUGACGUUCUAGACAAGCCACUCUGCAGAUACAGAGGAGCGGAGACUCUCAAGGAGCUGCUCUCCACCUUCACGGGAGGACAAGCGACACCGCGAGUGAGAACGGUCAAGGCAGAACCACUGGUUACCACAUCGGAGCAAUGGGCUGCUGGGAACUUUAAACGCAUACCAAUGUGUCACCGCGCAGGACAGCAAGGCCCGAGGUGAGCCAGGCACAGCCGUGGCAGCAACUGCCACCCAAGGGCACCGCCAGGCAGAGGCCUGGGGAGAGCACUGCCCCGGGGAGGGAGAGAGCACCCCGAGUCUGUGCAAGGUUUCCUUUUUUCUUUUAAAUUCACUACUUGUAUUUUAGUCUCUCGUCUAGGAUGGACUUGAAUUUCUUUAAAGAAAGAAAAGCAGAAUGUGAAUGUGGGUAACGUUAUAUUAGAAGGAAAAUACAGAUUUGGAAACGCCAAUCUCUUAAGAAACCAGUUUUGGGUAUAUGGCACCCAUUCUAACCUAAAGAUUCUUAAAUUAAGUACUCCGUGUUUAACUGCCUCUCUCUGUGCUGAUGAUAGAGUACUCAGGGUGCAGGGAGCCCCAGAGCCUUACUGAACAGUUUGGCUAAUCAGGUCUGAGGGUCUCCAGCUGGAAAUCACAGACACUGAAACGUGAGGACUCCGUUACCCAACUGAUUUUAUCAGGAGCCG